GCCAGGUGUGGAGGACAUGCCUGUAUUCCCAGCAUCUCUGGAGGCUGAGACAGGAGGAUCGAAAGUUCAAAGCUGGCCUCAGCAAGUGCAAGGUGCUUAGCCACUCAGUGAGAUCCUGUCUCUA
rnacentral:sRNA from 1 species